UUAAGUUAUUAAGGGCGCACGGUGGAUGCCUUGGCACUAGAAGCCGAUGAAGGACGUUACUAACGACGAUAUGCUUUGGGGAGCUGUAAGUAAGCUUUGAUCCAGAGAUUUCCGAAUGGGGAAACCCAGCAUGAGUUAUGUCAUGUUAUCGAUAUGUGAAUACAUAGCAUAUCAGAAGGCACACCCGGAGAACUGAAACAUCUUAGUACCCGGAGGAAGAGAAAGAAAAUUCGAUUCCCUUAGUAGCGGCGAGCGAAACGGGAAGAGCCCAAACCAACAAGCUUGCUUGUUGGGGUUGUAGGACACUCUAUACGGAGUUACAAAGGACGACAUUAGACGAAUCAUCUGGAAAGAUGAAUCAAAGAAGGUAAUAAUCCUGUAGUCGAAAAUGUUGUCUCUCUUGAGUGGAUCCUGAGUACGACGGAGCACGUGAAAUUCCGUUGGAAUCUGGGAGGACCAUCUCCUAAGGCUAAAUACUCUCUAGUGACCGAUAGUGAACCAGUACCGUGAGGGAAAGGUGAAAAGCACCCCGGAAGGGGAGUGAAAUAGAACCUGAAACCGUGUGCUUACAAGUAGUCAGAGCCCGUUAAUGGGUGAUGGCGUGCCUUUUGUAGAAUGAACCGGCGAGUUACGAUUUGAUGCAAGGUUAAGCAGUAAAUGUGGAGCCGUAGCGAAAGCGAGUCUGAAUAGGGCGUUUAGUAUUUGGUCGUAGACCCGAAACCAGGUGAUCUACCCUUGGUCAGGUUGAAGUUCAGGUAACACUGAAUGGAGGACCGAACCGACUUACGUUGAAAAGUGAGCGGAUGAACUGAGGGUAGCGGAGAAAUUCCAAUCGAACCUGGAGAUAGCUGGUUCUCUCCGAAAUAGCUUUAGGGCUAGCCUCAAGUGAUGAUUAUUGGAGGUAGAGCACUGUUUGGACGAGGGGCCCCUCUCGGGUUACCGAAUUCAGACAAACUCCGAAUGCCAAUUAAUUUAACUUGGGAGUCAGAACAUGGGUGAUAAGGUCCGUGUUCGAAAGGGAAACAGCCCAGACCACCAGCUAAGGUCCCAAAAUAUAUGUUAAGUGGAAAAGGAUGUGGCGUUGCCCAGACAACUAGGAUGUUGGCUUAGAAGCAGCCAUCAUUUAAAGAGUGCGUAAUAGCUCACUAGUCGAGUGACACUGCGCCGAAAAUGUACCGGGGCUAAACAUAUUACCGAAGCUGUGGAUUGUCCUUUGGACAAUGGUAGGAGAGCGUUCUAAGGGCGUUGAAGCAUGAUCGUAAGGACAUGUGGAGCGCUUAGAAGUGAGAAUGCCGGUGUGAGUAGCGAAAGACGGGUGAGAAUCCCGUCCACCGAUUGACUAAGGUUUCCAGAGGAAGGCUCGUCCGCUCUGGGUUAGUCGGGUCCUAAGCUGAGGCCGACAGGCGUAGGCGAUGGAUAACAGGUUGAUAUUCCUGUACCACCUAUAAUCGUUUUAAUCGAUGGGGGGGACGCAGUAGGAUAGGCGAAGCGUGCGAUUGGAUUGCACGUCUAAGCAGUAAGGCUGAGUAUUAGGCAAAUCCGGUACUCAUUAAGGCUGAGCUGUGAUGGGGAGAAGACAUUGUGUCUUCGAGUCGUUGAUUUCACACUGCCGAGAAAAGCCUCUAGAUAGAAAAUAGGUGCCCGUACCGCAAACCGACACAGGUAGUCAAGAUGAGAAUUCUAAGGUGAGCGAGCGAACUCUCGUUAAGGAACUCGGCAAAAUGACCCCGUAACUUCGGGAGAAGGGGUGCUCUUUAGGGUUAACGCCCAGAAGAGCCGCAGUGAAUAGGCCCAAGCGACUGUUUAUCAAAAACACAGGUCUCUGCUAAACCGUAAGGUGAUGUAUAGGGGCUGACGCCUGCCCGGUGCUGGAAGGUUAAGAGGAGUGGUUAGCUUCUGCGAAGCUACGAAUCGAAGCCCCAGUAAACGGCGGCCGUAACUAUAACGGUCCUAAGGUAGCGAAAUUCCUUGUCGGGUAAGUUCCGACCCGCACGAAAGGCGUAACGAUUUGGGCACUGUCUCAACGAGAGACUCGGUGAAAUCAUAGUACCUGUGAAGAUGCAGGUUACCCGCGACAGGACGGAAAGACCCCGUGGAGCUUUACUGUAGCCUGAUAUUGAAAUUCGGCACAGCUUGUACAGGAUAGGUAGGAGCCUUUGAAACGUGAGCGCUAGCUUACGUGGAGGCGCUGGUGGGAUACUACCCUAGCUGUGUUGGCUUUCUAACCCGCACCACUUAUCGUGGUGGGAGACAGUGUCAGGCGGGCAGUUUGACUGGGGCGGUCGCCUCCUAAAAGGUAACGGAGGCGCUCAAAGGUUCCCUCAGAAUGGUUGGAAAUCAUUCAUAGAGUGUAAAGGCAUAAGGGAGCUUGACUGCGAGACCUACAAGUCGAG
rnacentral:rRNA from 1 species